rnacentral:rRNA from 1 species
GACGAACGCUGGCGGCGUGCUUAACACAUGCAAGUCGAGCGGUAAGGCCCUUCGGGGUACGACGAGCGGCGAACGGGUGAGUAACACGUGGGUGACCUGCCUCUAGCUCUGGGAUAAGCCUGGGAAACUGGGUCUAAUACCGGAUAUGACUCCACGGCGCAUGUUGUGGGGUGGAAAGCCUUGUGUGGCUAGAGAUGGGCCCGCGGCCUAUCAGCUUGUUGGUGGGGUGAUGGCCUACCAAGGCGACGACGGGUAGCCGGCCUGAGAGGGCGACCGGCCACACUGGGACUGAGACACGGCCCAGACUCCUACGGGAGGCAGCAGUGGGGAAUCUUGCGCAAUGGGCGAAAGCCUGACGCAGCGACGCCGCGUGAGGGAUGAAGGCCUUAGGGUUGUAAACCUCUUUCAGCUCCGACGAAGCGAGAGUGACGGUAGGAGCAGAAGAAGCACCGGCCAACUACGUGCCAGCAGCCGCAGUAAC